rnacentral:rRNA from 1 species
GACGAACGCUGGCGGCGUGCUUAACACAUGCAAGUCGAACGAAGUGGCGAACGGGUGAGUAACGCGUAAUCAACCGGCCCAUCAGAGGGGGACAACAGUUGGAAACGACUGCUAAUACCGCAUACUGAAGGAGGGGAAUGCGGCUGAUUAGCUAGUUGGAGGGGUAACGGCCUACCAAGGCGAUGAUCAGUAGCCGGUCUUGGAGGAUGAACGGGCACAUUGGGACCGAGACCCGGCCCAGACUCCUACGGGAGGCAGCAUGUGGGAAUCUUCCGAAAUGGACGAAAGUCUGACGGAGCAACGCCGCGUGAGUGAUGACGGCCUUCGGGUUGUAAAGCUCUGUUAAUCGGGACGCGGUACCGGAAGAGAAAGCCACGGCUAACUACGUGCCAGCAGCCGCGGUAAUAC